rnacentral:rRNA from 1 species
GAUGAACGCUGGCGGCGUGCCUAAUACAUGCAAGUCGAGCGAACAGACGAGGAGCUUGCUCCUCUGACGUUAGCGGCGGACGGGUGAGUAACACGUGGAUAACCUACCUAUAAGACUGGGAUAACUUCGGGAAACCGGAGCUAAUACCGGAUAAUAUAUUGAACCGCAUGGUUCAAUAGUGAAAGACGGUUUUGCUGUCACUUAUAGAUGGAUCCGCGCCGCAUUAGCUAGUUGGUAAGGUAACGGCUUACCAAGGCAACGAUGGGUAGCCGACCUGAGAGGGUGAUCGGCCACACUGGAACUGAGACACGGUCCAGACUCCUACGGGGAGCAGCAGUAGGGAAUCUUCCGCAAUGGGCGAAAGCCUGACGGAGCAACGCCGCGUGAGUGAUGAAGGUCUUCGGACCGUAAAACUCUGUUAUUAGGGAAGAACAAAUGUGUAAGUAACUAUGCACGUCUUGACGGUACCUAAUCAGAAAGCCACGGCUAACUACGUG